rnacentral:lncRNA from 1 species
GCCAAUGACACGCAAGUGCUCUCACUGUUUAAGCUAAACCUGCACACUGCGCUCGACGGUUUUACACCGGCUCUGGAUUUUGCACACUUAAGUCGUCUUUCAAAAAACAACUGUGCAGUGUGAAUGAGAAUGCUAGAAACAGAAACCGAAAGGGGCGCGUCAAGAUUCAAAACAAACUGUUGUGCAGAAAUGCUCCUCUUUGCAACCUUCGCGUUUCUUGUAGAUUUAUCCUGGGCUCUUCCAACGGACAUUAUUAUUCAAUUCGAGCGCAGUGUUUUGCCAAACGGGACAGUCGUGGAGAGGAUCCUUGUCAGUGAUGCAAAUUUAAAGGGACAGUUUGUCAAGCAACCAGUUGUCAGAACCAUUCAAGAUGAAGUCCUGAAGAUGAUGGUGGAGAAUGACCAUGAAACAGCAAGCUAUGGCACAUAUAUACGUUUGAGGGAAUGUAAGCUGCGAGGAUAUCAAGUCCUGCAGCUGUCCGACCGGUUUCAGCUCAAUGGCAAAGAUUAUCUGACUUUAGAUUCAGACAGUGAUUCAUGGACAGUGAUGCCGGAGGCGCGUGAUCUAAAGCAGACAUGGACACUUAAGGCCGAGCAUGCGAGUCUAGAGAAAAUCCACCUGAAAGAAGAAUGUGAGGAAUUCAUUAAACAGAUAAAUGAUGCCCAGAAUCAAGAAGGGCUUGGUGUGUUAAGAGUGAUGGUUCCAGUUCUCGCCACUUUUCUCUUCAUCGGAUUUGUUUUUAUGAGCCUCCUUAUCUUCAAGCGACACGGUGAGCAUAUGACUGGAAUCAUGUGCUGGCACAUGUGUAUUUGUGAAAACACCACUGCAUACC